ensembl:lncRNA
AAAUCAGGCUAUAAUGAUUACUUGCAUACUCAUCACACUACCUACACACAUCAGUGUUAAGCAGCAGGAUUUAUAAAAAAAAAACGAGCUCUAGAGUAACAGGCAAGAAGAGAGAGAGAUAAAAUGCGCUCAAAGCAGUGUAGCAUCAUAGUACUGUUUGUAUGUAUGUGUAUGUGUGUGUGUGUGUGUGUGUGUGCAUGAAGGAUCAUCAACGUGCAUUUUAAACAUGCAUAGAGAUCAAUUCUGCAGAUGCAUAUACGUAAAUCUGCAGCGCAUGCAACGUGUUGGCUUGUGAUUCUGUGUUCUGAUGAGAGCUUUUUCAAAGCGACUGUGGAAGAGGAGGGGCAAAGAGGAAAUGAAACAAACGAGCAGUGAAGAGCCUCUUUAAAAGGAGAGAGGAAGAGAACUGAACGCUGAAAUAUAUGAGUGGGUGGAAGGAUGGAUUGACGGACAGGCAGUUUUGUGGGUGGUUGGGUGGAUGGAUGGUUGGUUGAUGGACAAACAGAUAAGUAGGUUGACUGGAUGGAUUAAUGGAUGGAUGGACAGAAAUAGACAGGUAGGUUGGGUGGAUGGACGGACAGACGUAGGUAGGUUGGGUGGAUGGAUGGAGGUAUGUAUGCAUGCAUGGAUGGAUGGUUGGACAGAUAGACAGACAUGUAGGUUGGAUGGGUAGAUGCAUGCAUGCAUGCAUGGAUGGAUGGACAGAGGGAUGGAUGCAUGCAUGGAUGUAUGGUCAGAUGGACAGACAUGUAGGUUGGUUGGAUGGAUAGAUGGAUGGAUGGAUGGAUGGAUGGACAGAGGGAUGGAUGCAUGCAUGGAUGUAUGGUCAGAUGGACAGACAUGUAGGUUGGUUGGAUGGAUAGAUGGAUGGAUGGACAGAGGGAUGGAUGCAUGCAUGGAUGUAUGGAUGGAUGGUCAGAUGGACAGACAUGUAGGUUGGUUGAAUGGAUAGAUGGAUGGAUGGAUGGAUAGAUGGAUUUCUGGGUGGGUA